CCUACGGGAGGCAGCAGUGAGGAAUAUUGGUCAAUGGGCGUAAGCCUGAACCAGCCAAGUCGCGUGAGGGAUGAAGGUUCUAUGGAUCGUAAACCUCUUUUAUAAGGGAAUAAAGUGUGGGACGUGUCCUGUUUUGUAUGUACCUUAUGAAUAAGGAUCGGCGAACUCCGUGCCAGCAGCCGCGGUAAUACGGAGGAUCCGAGCGUUAUCCGGAUUUAUUGGGUUUAAAGGGUGCGUAGGGGGCCUUUUAAGUCAGCGGUGAAAGUCUGUGGCUCAACCAUAGAAUUGCCGUUGAAACUGGGAGGCUUGAGUAUGUUUGAGGCAGGCGGAAUGCGUGGUGUAGCGGUGAAAUGCUUAGAUAUCACGCAGAACCCCGAUUGCGAAGGCAGCCUGCCAGGCCAUGACUGACGCUGAUGCACGAAAGCGUGGGGAUCAAACAGGAUUAGAUACCCUAGUAGUC
rnacentral:rRNA from 1 species